rnacentral:rRNA from 1 species
CGUGUAGGCGGCCUAAUAAGUUAGAAGUGAAACCUAUCGGCUCAACUGAUAGCCUGCUUCUAAAACUGCUAAGCUUGAGUGCAGAAGAGGGGAGUGGAAUUCCAAGUGUAGCGGUGAAAUGCGUAGAUAUUGGGAGGAACACCAGUGGCGAAAGCGGCUCCCUGGUCUGUAACUGACGCUGAGGCGCGAAAGCGUGGGUAGCAAACA